GACGAACGCUGGCGGCGUGCCUAAUACAUGCAAGUAGAACGCAGAUGCGAACGGGUGAGUAACGCGUAGGUAACUGCCUGGUAGAGGGGGAAAACAAUUGGAAACGAUAGGUAAUACAGCAACAAAAGAGAUGGAACUGCGUUGUAUUAGAUAGGUGGUGGGGUAAAGGCUCACAAAGGCAACGAUACAUAGCCGACCUGAGAGGGUGAUCGGCCACACUGGGACUGGGACACGGCCCAGACGCCUACGGGAGGCAGCAGUAGGGAAUCUUCGGCAAUGGACGGAAGUCUGACCGAGCAACGCCGCGGGAGUGAAGAAGGUUUUCGGAUCGUAAAGCUCUGUUGUAAGAGAAGCGGUAUCUAACCAGAAAGGGACGGCUAACUACGUGCCAGCAGCCGCGGUAAUAC
rnacentral:rRNA from 1 species